rnacentral:misc_RNA from 1 species
GAUGAAGAACGCAGCGAAAUGCGAUAAGUAAUGUGAAUUGCAGAAUUCAGUGAAUCAUCGAAUCUUUGAACGCACAUUGCGCCCCCUGGUAUUCCGGGGGGCAUGCCUGUUCGAGCGUCAUUUCACCACUCAAGCCUCGCUUGGUAUUGGGCAACGCGGUCCGCCGCGUGCCUCAAAUCGACCGGCUGGGUCUUCUGUCCCCUAAGCGUUGUGGAAACUAUUCGCUAAAGGGUGUUCGGGAGGCUACGCCGUAAAACAACCCCAUUUCUAAGGUUGACCUCGGAUCAGGUAGGGAUACCCGCUGAACUUAAGCAUAUCAAUAAAGCGGAGGA